AACGCGAAGAACCUUACCUGGGUUGGAACCCUCCAGAAGUCCGCAGAGAUGUGGAUGUGCCCGCAAGGGAAUUGGAUGUCCAGGUGCUGCAUGGCUGUCGUCAGCUCGUGUCGUGAGAUGUUGGGUUAAGUCCCGCAACGAGCGCAACCCUUGUCGUUAGUUGCCAGCGGUUCGGCCGGGCACUCUAACGAGACUGCCGGUGUUAAACCGGAGGAAGGUGGGGAUGACGUCAAGUCCUCAUGGCCCUUAUGCCCAGGGCUACACACGUGCUACAAUGACCGGUACAAAGGGUUGCAAACCUGUGAAGGCAAGCUAAUCCCAAAAAACCGGCCUCAGUUCGGAUCGGAGUCUGCAACUCGACUCCGUGAAGUUGGAAUCGCUAGUAAUCGCGGAUCAGCCAUGCCGCGGUGAAUACGUUCCCGGGCCUUGUACACACCGUAGAGAC
rnacentral:rRNA from 1 species